CGCGGCUCGAGCUCUGCCUGACGGUGUCGGAGUGUCUGUUUGGAGGGUCUGAGGGAAGGUGUCAGACUGAGAGCGAUGGACUCUCCGUGUCAGAGGCAGAGGCAACGUCUGGUGAGGAGCCACAGGGGAACAUUGAACAACAGAUGGAAACCAGGCUGAGACUUCCCAAUGCUGCUGUGGAACAUCUCCAGUUCCCGAGGACGAGCAGCAGGGAGCUCAAAUUUGUCGUAAAUGCCAGAAACCUCCCAGCACGGAUAAUGGAAGCAAUGCAAGUGCCCAGGGAACAUCAGCUACAGGACCUGCUAACGAUGCUCGACCAGUUGCUGUCAACCUUGGCCAGACCUCAGCAUGUUACCUGGCAAUGAGUUCUUCUCCCAACGUGCCUGAUGUUCCCUUUUGGCUGUUGCUGGGUCACCAUUUCAUCUCAGAGCACAUCCAAGCCCCGCUUUUGGAUAGGAUUGUUGUGUUGUUGGGGUCCCAUUACCUGCUGGUGAGGAGGAUAGCUCUCCACACGGCCUCCCAUGUCCUGGUGGUGAGGACAACAUUGGCGAUGGUAGAGUCCCAACCUCCGUACGCCGUGAGCUGUGUCUUAAGCCUCAGCGACACUCCAGCUGCUCAUCCCGCAGGAGUUCCAGCAUCCUGGGACAUCAGCAGCUGUGCUUCCGGCCUUGUCAGGCUCACACUGGGCCGCCUUCGACAGGGCCGCUGGUCAAGAGCAAGGCAGGCCCCUCCGCACUUGAGCGCUCUCCAUCGGCAUCUCCCGUCCGAUGGAAGUGGAUCCACUGCGGGGCCAAGUGGGGGGCCCAACCCCAGUCCCAAUUGAAGAGGUGACCCAGGCCAGCAACGGGAUGGGGGGAGGGAUCUGGGCCCGGUCUGCCCCAAGGAGUCCAGUUGCUGUGUCUGCCUCUGAGACGGCUGGAGACAGGGCAGGCCUCGCCUCCCUCCCCGCUCCCAGGCAGUCUACUGGGCUGCGUGCCCCGGAACAGUCCAGAUUACUGGGGUACCUCCGCCCUCACCGCACGAAAAGAGGCCUGACAGAGGCAGCAGCGGCUGAGGGCCACGGCCCCCUGGCAGGCCGUCAAGGGCAGCAAGCCCCAUGGGGCCGGGUCAUCAGGGGUCUGAUCCUCAGAAAGAGUACGGCAGAGUAGGACGUUAAAGUGGAACAGGGGACUGUUCCCUCUCAGCUGUGCAGGUGUGCGGCAGCGCAGGAACUGAACUGCUCACGUGCACGUAGCCUUUGUUUCUGCACAGCUGAGAUUUUCUUCUGUAUAAUAUUAAUAUAAUUUUUAAAUUAUGCUAAUCUAAUUUUGAAAUCCAUUAAUAAAUGUGAAAUACCAUAAUUAAUUGUGUUAAUAUAAUCCUUAAGUGUUGGCGCGUGGCCAAGUGGUUAAGACAUUCGUCUUGUGAUCUGAAAGUCGCUAGUCGAGCCUUGGCUGAGGCAGCGUGUUGUGUCCUUGAGGAAGGCACACAUUGCUCUGCGACAACACCGGUGCCAAGCUGUAUGGGUCCUAGUGCCCUUCCCUUGGACAACAUCGGUGGCGUGGAGAGGGGAGACUUGCAGCAUGGGCAACUGCCGGUCUUCCUUGCCCAGGCCUGUGCCCUGGAAACCUUCUAAGGUGCAAAUCCAUGGUCUCACAAGACUAACGGAUGCCUAUAUAUAAAAUAAAUAAUAAUCUUUAAAUAUUCUAAAUAAUAAACAUACUCUAACCUUUAAUUUGAAACAUUUAGUGCUUCGUAUUUACAUUGUUGGUGUUUCAAGUUACAAACUGUAAUCAUAAAUGCAGAAAUGAAGUCAGUAGCUCAUUGAUAAUAAACCCCUGGCCUGCUGAAUGCUGACGCUGUCUGUCAGUA